rnacentral:rRNA from 1 species
GUGGGGAAUAUUGGGCAAUGGGCGAAAGCCUGACCCAGCAACGCCGCGUGAAGGAAGAAGGUUUUCGGAUCGUAAACUUCUAUCCUUGGUGAAGAUAAUGACGGUAGCCAAGAAGGAAGCCCCGGCUAACUACGUGCCAGCAGCCGCGGUAAUACGUAGGGGGCAAGCGUUGUCCGGAAUGAUUGGGCGUAAAGGGCGCGUAGGCGGCCCGGUAAGUCUGAAGUGAAAGUCCUGCUUUUAAGGUGGGAAUUGCUUUGGAUACUGUCGGGCUUGAGUGCAGGAGAGGUAAGCGGAAUUCCCGGUGUAGCGGUGAAAUGCGUAGAGAUCGGGAGGAACACCAGUGGCGAAGGCGGCUUACUGGACUGUAACUGACGCUGAGGCGCGAAAGUGUGGGGAGCAAACAGGAUUAGAUACCCUGGUAGUCC